GUUUUGCUGCUGAGAGCAAAAACCACACAGUCAGUAAACUCACCUCAGAAGGAAGGAGGAGGGUUCAACUGCUGCGACGGAAACCGCUCUGUCACAUCACUAUGUGCCACCAUGAGUCCAACAUCAUGCUGCUGCUCUUGCUGAACUCACUGCUGUGCUGCCCAACACACCAAGCCUCUCUGACUGUGAGUCCCAGCAGCUCUCAGAUGUUUA